GGGAAAUUUUUAAUAACUUUGAGCGCUUGGCAAAUCUAAACUAAACAAUAUUUUUCUAUUAUUUAAAAUGGAUAUUAAAGUUGGAGGAAAUCAAAAAGCUGACAAAAGUGUUCGUCUUCUGUAGAGGAAAAAAAGGUGUUCUGCGUAUUUGUGCGUUGUUUAAUAUGUGCUUGAAUUCUGUCACGCCACGUUGCUGGACGUGUGGAUGGACAGCGGGCGCCACUCUUCCGCGCUGGUUGAACUUGUAUUUGGUCA